rnacentral:rRNA from 1 species
AACGAACGCUGGCGGCAUGCCUAACACGUGCAAGUCGAACGAACCCUUCGGGGUUAGUGGCGCACGGGUGCGUAACGCGUGGGAAUCUGCCCUUUGCUUCGGAAUAACAGUUAGAAAUGACUGCUAAUACCGGAUGAUGUCUUCGGACCAAAGAUUUAUCGGCAAGGGAUGAGCCCGCGUAGGAUUAGGUAGUUGGUGGGGUAAAGGCCUACCAAGCCGACGAUCCUUAGCUGGUCUGAGAGGAUGAUCAGCCACACUGGGACUGAGACACGGCCCAGACUCCUACGGGAGGCAGCAGUGGGGAAUAUUGGACAAUGGGCGCAAGCCUGAUCCAGCAAUGCCGCGUGAGUGAUGAAGGCCUUUGGGUCGUAAAGCUCUUUUACCAGGGAUGAUAAUGACAGUACCUGGAGAAUAAGCUCCGGCUAACUCCGUGCCAGCAGCCGCAGUAACAC